rnacentral:rRNA from 1 species
AGUGAACGCUGGCGGUAGGCCUAACACAUGCAAGUCGAACGGCAGCACAGUAAGAGCUUGCUCUUACGGGUGGCGAGUGGCGGACGGGUGAGGAAUACAUCGGAAUCUACUUUUUCGUGGGGGAUAACGUAGGGAAACUUACGCUAAUACCGCAUACGACCUACGGGUGAAAGCAGGGGAUCUUCGGACCUUGCGCGAUUGAAUGAGCCGAUGUCGGAUUAGCUAGUUGGCGGGGUAAAGGCCCACCAGGGCGACGAUCCGUAGCUGGUCUGAGAGGAUGAUCAGCCACACUGGAACUGAGACACGGUCCAGACUCCUACGGGAGGCAGCAGUGGGGAAUAUUGGACAAUGGGCGCAAGCCUGAUCCAGCCAUACCGCGUGGGUGAAGAAGGCCUUCGGGUUGUAAACCCCUUUUGUUGGGAAAGAAAAGCAGCAGGUUAAUACCCCGCUGUUCUGACGGUACCCAAAGAAUAAGCACCGGCUAACUUCGUG